GAUGCGUGGAUAGAUGGAAUGAUUCAGGAGUCAAGAGGAAGCUUAUGCUCCAGGAAUAACACUCAACUGCCCCCAAAGGGGGGGAUGCCCCCAUCUUCCAGGUUCAAGAAGGAGCUCUGCAUACAAAGAGGAAGAGCACAUCCAGUGUAGGCACUAUGACCACCCUUCCUGGCCUCCAGCCCUCCACAGACAAGGGCCAGGAGGGUGCCUGCACACUGAAGGUAUAGCAGACUUCCUCAGACCUUCUCUCCUCCAUAAACAGAGGUCAAUGGGGUAUCUCACACACGUACCCUCCCUAGCUUCAUAAAAAGCCACAGCUUCACCACCACUGACUGUCUUGAACACACCAGGACUAACUGCAUUGUAUGUUUUUUUCCUGUUUAUAAGCAGUCAUGCCAAACAACAAGCCCCACAGGUAUCUUCAUAGUCCUUGUUUUUCCCCUGCCUCCCUCUACUCCCAUCUCCUGAAACACUCCCUCACAUCUCUAAAACUCACAGUGCAUCAAAGGCAAAAUCCCCUGUAUCUUUCAUUUCUUCUCUGCACGCUGCCUUCAGCCUGGAACAGGGCUCUGAGGCAGUCUGAAGAGCUAAGAUGCUGAGGGGCAGGUCCAGGCUUAGACAAAGGUGGGGGUGGGCCGCAGCUGGAACUCCGGACCCAGAAGCAGGUUGUCAGGUUCAUGAGGUUGGGGUGCCCUCUGCUGGCCAUGAUUGGCCAUGGUGGCAGAUUGGAUUAACCCACACUGAGGGCACUCAGAAGGGAUCAGCUAAUUAGACGUAAAACUGGUUCCGAGUCCAAGGUCCAAAGAGAUAAAUGAGAACAUUGAUAAAUAAGCCAAACAUUUCAGCAACAAACAGGGGCCCAAGGAUCAGGCACUGUGGGGGCUGGGGGGUGGUAUUUGUAGCAUAAUCUGUGACAAGAAAGAGUGUGAGCUCAAUCAUGUGUCCUUGGUGGGGGUGGACACACAUCCUUUUCCGAGGGCACUAACCCUACCCUUGCCUCGGUCUGUGUUCUCUCUAAUCCGGCUUUCUGUUUGCCCUCCCAAAGACCGAUCACCUGGGGAAAUAGUCAGUUCAACCCUCCUCCCUCCUCCUUCCCCAACAUGGAGAUGGGGGCAGGGAACAUGGUGAAACCGCACGGAUCUGGUUUUCAGGACUGCCUAUCUGUUUCCUACCCAUGUGACCUUGGACAAUUUAUUUAACCUCUCUAAGCCUCAGUGGCCUCAUUUGCAAAAUGGGAGUGAAAAUCUCUACUCCCCGCUGGGAGGAUUAAGUGAAGUGGGGCAUGCCAGGUGCUGACACAUGGCACGUUCUCCACACUUUCCCUUUCUCUCUUUUUUCCUUCACACGGAUUCAAACCUUACCGAAUUCAACUCUGCUCCAGACCCCGCCCUCCACCGCCCUCCCCUUCAGCAAACACCGAGGGAGGGGCCGUUGUCUCUCCUCCUCCGCCCGCUAAAGUGGUCAGAGUCCAGAGAGCUGAGGGCCCAGCGUGGAUGACCAGGAAGGAGACUGUCUCCGUUCAGCCUCCGAAGCCCAACUGCCCCACUGAGAGGAUGAAGGUCUCCACGGCUGCCCUCUCUCUCCUCAGCUCACCAUUACUUCUGCCAUUCACAGCCAGGCAAAAAUUCCUGAGUCGGUGAACCCUCCACCCGCCUGCUGCCUGAAGUAUCAUGAGAAAGUAUUGCCAAGAAAAGUGGUGGUGAGAUACAGAAAGGCCCUCAACUGCUACCUGCCAGCAAUCAUCGUCAUCACCAGAAGGAAACGAGAGAUCUGUACCAACCCCAAUAACGAAUGGGUCCAAGAAUACAUCAAGGAUCCCAGACUACCUUUGCAUCCUUCCAGGAAGUUGGUCUAGGUUAACAUUAUUCGAUCUGAGAAAGGUCAGCCCCAGAUCCUCAACUGCCCAUGGUGGUCAGGCCUCAGUGGGAGCCCAAGUUUGGGGGAAAAAUGGUGCAACCCUGUGAAAAUGCAGGCAGCCUUGUGGUCUGAAUGACAGAGUUACAUUCAGAGAAGCAGGCCAGUGAUCCCACAAAGUAAAGUUUCAAACAUAUUCUCAAUCUCUGGAGGACAUGCCAAAGUUAAGGGAGGAGAGCAGGGAUACAUUCUUAAUGCACAGAAAGGCAUCUUUCACAUCCUCCUCCUUGCUCUGCUUUCAGAUCCUCACAUCACUCCAGCCGUUCUAAAUGAUCAGACCACCUCUGGCCUCUCACUCACUGAGACCCAGAGGACUCAAGACUUUUCCUUAUCCCUUUUCUAGGUCUCUUUUUUCUUCUAUUAUCUUUUCUUUUAAAAAAUAACUUUUUUCUUAGCAGGCCAGGGUGGGAAUAUUCAAAUACUAGUGAUUUUUGUCCCUGUUGCAGAGGUUUUGCUGGAUCCCCUGAUAUCGGGUCCUCCCCAGGGUGACGUGUGUACAGACAGUGCCAAAACAGAAAAGGAGGUGUGAAUCCCUAGCUCCCACUCUAAGCUUUGCAUGGCAAGGGAAGGGCAUUAGACCAGGUUGGGGAUAAAAAUCUUGAUCUAAAAUGCAACCAUUCAAUAAAUAAAAUUUGCUUUAUUGCCAACUUGA